GCCAGCAGCCAUAUCACCCUGCAACUCACAAGUGUCAACACACUCAAGCUAAGCAGGUGUGAGCCUGGUCAAUACCUUCAUGGGAGACCUUCUGGGAAAGCUAAGGUUACUGUUGGAA
rnacentral:rRNA from 1 species